AAUGAACGCUGGCGGCGUGCUUAACACAUGCAAGUCGAACGAGAAAUUUCCUGCUUGCAGGAGAGAGUAAAGUGGCGGACGGGUGAGGAACACGUGGGAUAAUCUGCCUCCAAGCCUGGGAUAACUAUUCGAAAGGAUAGCUAAUACCGGAUGAAGUUGUCUGACACAAGUUGGACAAUGAAAGAUUGCCUCUUCUUGAAAGCAAUUGUUUGGAGAUGAGUCUGCGGACCAUUAGUUUGUUGGUGGGGUAAAGGCCUACCAAGACUGCGAUGGUUAGCUGGUCUGAGAGGAUGAUCAGCCACACUGGAACUGACACACGGUCCAGACUCCUACGGGAGGCAGCAGUGAGGAAUUUUGCGCAAUGGGGGAAACCCUGACGCAGCAACGCCGCGUGAGUGAAGAAGGCCCUUGGGUCGUAAAGCUCUGUCGACAGGGAAGAAUUACUUUGUAUUAAUAGUGCAUUGUAUUGACGGUACCUGUAGAGGAAGCACCGGCUAACUCCGUGCCAGCAGCCGCGGUAAUACGGGGGGUGCAAGCGUUAUUCGGAAUUAUUGGGCGUAAAGCGCGCGUAGGCGGUCUGUUAAGUCAGAUGUGAAAGCCCGGGGCUCAACCCUGGAACUGCAUUCAAAACUGUCAGACUUGAGUAUGGGAGAGGAGAGUGGAAUUCCCAGUGUAGAGGUGAAAUUCGUAGAUAUUGGGAGGAACACCUGUGGCGAAGGCGACUCUCUGGACCAAUACUGACGCUGAGACGCGAAAGCGUGGGGAGCAAACAGGAUUAGAUACCCUGGUAGUCCACGCCGUAAACGUUGACAACUAGGUGCAGCGGGUAUUGACCCCUGCUGUGCCGGAGUUAACGCAUUAAGUUCUCCGCCUGGGGAGUACGGCCGCAAGGCUUAAACUCAAAGGAAUUGACGGGGGCCCGCACAAGCGGUGGAGCAUGUGGUUUAAUUCGACGCAACGCGAAGAACCUUACCUGGAUUUGACAUCCUGGGAAUCUUUUCGAAACCAGAUUUGAGUGCCCUUCGGGGAACCCAGUGACAGGUGCUGCAUGGCUGUCGUCAGCUCGUGUCGUGAGAUGUUCGGUUAAGUCCGGCAACGAGCGCAACCCCUAUCUUUAGUUGCCAUCAUUCAGUUGGGCACUCUAGAGAUACUGCCUGGGUUAACCAGGAGGAAGGUGGGGACGACGUCAAGUCAUCAUGGCCCUUACGGCUAGGGCUACAAACGUGCUACAAUGGCAGAUACAAAGGGUAGCAAUACCGCGAGGUGGAGCAAAUCCCCUAAAACGACCCUCAGUUCGGAUCGCAGUCUGCAACUCGACUGCGUGAAGUUGGAAUCGCUAGUAAUCGUGGAUCAGCAUGCCACGGUGAAUACGUUCCCGGGCCUUGUACACACCGCCCGUCACACCACGAGAGUUGAUUGUACCAGAAGUCGUUGGGCUAACCCUUCGGGGAGCAGGUACCUAAGGUACGGUUGGUAAUUGGGGUGAAG
rnacentral:rRNA from 1 species